GCAGUGAUGGUUCAGUGGUAGAAUUCUUACCUUCCAUGUGGGAGACCCUGGUUUGAUUCCUGGUCAAUGUG
rnacentral:tRNA from 1 species